UGUUGAUUUUGCCUGACUACG
ensembl:piRNA 21ur-4525 ncRNA